CAGAUGACCUCAUCCAGGACCCUCGACGUCAAGCGCAGCAGGAAGAAGAACGCGCCAAAGUCCGUCACCGCGCCGCUCGCGUCCUUCGACGACGACGAAGAUCUGAACAUCGCCCCUCUCGUCGCCGCCGAGCCGAAGGAGACCUCCACCAAGGACGCCACCGUCGCCGUGCUCGAGGCGCAGGUUGGUAAGGUCAUCGAGGUGAAGGUCACCGACGUCAACGACAAGAAGAUCGUCGUCUCCGAGCGCGCGCUGGUCCAGGAGCGCGGUGUCAAGAGGCUCAAGCCCGGCGUCCGAGCAUCCGCGCAGGUUGUCUCCCUCUCCGAUUUUGGCGCCUUUGUGGAGCUCUCGCAGGACGAUC
rnacentral:lncRNA from 1 species